rnacentral:lncRNA from 1 species
AUGAGGUCAUUCUUGCUUGGAUGGCCAGAAGUGUCUGGAACUCAUGACUCCUCACAUGACACAUCUCCUUUUCCCCUUCUGAGUCCAUAAAAAUCUGUCAGUUUCCUCAGUGGACACCCAUGUACUCAGAUUCUCAAUCUUCUUAACUUCUUGAUUAAAGAUCACUUUCUAGCUGAAUUCCUGUCAUGCCUAAUCAACUAAUCCUCUAUGCCCUCUGGAGCCUUCUCUUUCGUCUAGGCGUUGCCAUAUAUCACAAAGGCACAGGCAAUCCAGCACCCCACCCUGGUCCCCACUAUCUCCUGCCCCCCAUCCACGAGGUCAUUCACUCUCGCCGCGGUGCCACGGUCACCCUACCCUGCGUUCUGGGCACCCCACCCCCCAGCUACAAGGUGCGCUGGAGCAAAGUGGAGCCUGGGGAACUACGGGAAACACUAAUCCUGAUUACCAAUGGGCACCAUGCCCGGGGCUACGGACCCCUGGGAGACCGUGCCAGGAUGAGGAGGGGGCACAGGCUGGAUGCCUCCCUUGUGAUCACGGGUGUAGCGCUGGAGGACGAGGGGAGAUACCGCUGCGAGCUCAUCAAUGGCCUGGAAGAUGAGAGCUUGGCACUGACCCUCAGGCUGGAGGGUGUAGUUUUCCCGUACCAGCCCAGUCGGGGCCGAUACCAGUUUAAUUACUAUGAAGCUAAGCAAGCAUGUGCUGAGCAGGACGGGCGGCUAGCCACGUACCCCCAGCUCUACCAGGCGUGGACUGAGGGCCUGGACUGGUGUAACGCGGGUUGGCUCCUGGAAGGCUCAGUGCGUUACCCGGUGUUGACAGCUCGAACACCCUGUGGAGGUCGGGGUCGGCCAGGGAUUCGCAGUUACGGGCCUCGAGAUAAGCAACGUGAUCGCUACGACGCUUUCUGUUUUACCUCCGCGUUGCGGGGCCACGUGUUCUUCGUUCCUGGCCGUCUGACGCUUGCUGAGGCGAGCGGAGCCUGCGUGAGGCGCGGAGCUGUGCUGGCCAAGGUUGGCCACCUCUAUGCUGCCUGGAAGUUCUCGGGCCUGGACCGCUGCGACGGGGGCUGGCUGGCUGACGGCAGUGUACGCUUCCCCAUCACCACUCCACGGCCCCGUUGUGGAGGCCUCCCGGAUCCCGGAGUCCGCAGCUUCGGUUUCCCCAGCCCAGAGCAGCCAGCCUAUGGGACCUACUGCUAUGCCGAGACCUAGACGGACAUGCCCUCCCUAGCCCCCGCCGAGAGAGCGGCCUUCUUUCCCAUUGUAGAUCUAGUCUUAACUGGGAAAGAGAUUGAGAGUCGAGUUGGGGAUGGGGCGUGUUUGCACUAGGAGUGUGUGUAUCAGCACUGCCUCCGGCCUUCCCGAGCUUCCCCUGCUUGCUAGACUGGGGGAGCGAAGGAACGUCUUGCUGAUACUCUCUAUUUCCCGCACUGCAGACAGCUGUGCCAAAAUCCAGACGGGGCCCGGGGGAGGCAGUGUAAAUAAAUGCUCCUGUGCUGCUUACCCUUCCUGGAUG